GCAUGUGAGGACACAGAAAGGUGUCAUUAGUGAACCAGGAAAUGGGCCCUUGCCAGGAACCGAAUUGACUGGUACCAUGAUGUUGGACUCCCUAGCUUCUAGAAUGAACAGAAAAUCAACUGGAGUCAUUUUCCUGGAGACCACACCUGCUCUUGACUCUCAUCUUUUAGGCUGAAGAUUUUGAGUGGAUUUGACAAUGUCCCCUUCUGCAGAUUCUCUAGGACUUCUCUUCAAGAAUCAACAUCAAAGCCAUCCUGAUUGCACAUUCAAAUGUAAGGCACCAGAGAACUGGAUAAAACAAUGCCAUUUCCUUCUGUUUGGCUGUGUGCCAGUGCAGGGGAUUUAGCAAAGAGCUCAAUGCCUUUGUGCCCAACCCCACAACCUCUGUACCUUGCUUUGAUGGGGAACAGCACUGGGCUCCCAGGCUCCUGCUACUAGAGUCUGACCUUUUCCCUGGCCUCUGAGUAUUUUAGGGAUGGGGAUCACAUAUAGCCAUCUCUGCAACUCUGGUGCCUGGCUCACCAGUUGCCUAAUAAAUGUGUGGAUUAAAUGUA